UCAAAUUCUGACAAGAUGCUCUGCACUUGAUCAUCAUAACGUGCACGCUCAAACUCUGCACAGUCUUUGCACUGAUGCUUAAGUUCUGUGUCCAUGUGUGGAAAGUUCCGCAGAUCACACUGUUGCAACCUGUUUGAUAGCAGGUGUAACUUGCUUUUAAAUGUGUUCAUGGAGCUGAUCAUGUUGAUGACGUGUUUUUCCUGUGGCGGAGCGUCG